AAAACAAGACAAGAUUCCCCCACAAAACCCCAAUAAAUCUAUUUGUAAUGGACUAAAACUCGGGACCAAUUUCGGACAAAAAUGCCCUUCCAGGUCAAUUAUGCGACCGCAUUUCUGUCAUAUAACAGAUUUGCGGUCCGCAUUCUCGUCACAGUCGUCGCAUCUUUGAAACCCUAGUUCCCAGGUAGUCGUCGCAUUUGGGUUAUGCGGUCUGCAUUGUUGAUUUGUCAUCGCAUUUUCCGCCUUCAGCAACUUCUACAGGGAGUUUAUGAUCUAUUAUGCGGCCCGCAAACCUGUUAUGCGGUUGCAUAAUGGACCGCAUUUCUUGCGCUUGAAUUUGGCCAACAGACUGUUGGGCUUUGCCAUUCCUUUGAGCAUUAUGCGGUCCGCAUGUUGGAUUUGCAGUCCGCAUAUUCACAUCUGCGAUUGCAUUUUGCCUUUUUCUUGUCCUUUUGCGGCUUUUUAAUUUUAUUUCCAUAUUCUUGGGUCCUUAAGACUCAUACACUGCAAAACAUUAAAAUUACAUAAGUAUAAAAGAUAAUUGCAUUUAAAACAAACUAAAAUCUAAGCAAUUUGCAUUAAAUGUGUUGAAAUUCUCCGGCACAUCAACACCCCCAACUUAAACUCUUGCUUGUCCUCAAGCAACUAAAAUGACACUAUCCUAUUCUAGACUCCAUCUAAACGAUAUGAAACAAUAGUGACCGUGGACAGUGUUAGUUGUUAGUACUACAAGCAUGCACUUUUGUUUAUUUACCCUUCAUGAACCAUCAUUGUUAUUUUACAAAAAAAACUAAUCAGCUUGUGAAACUUUGAGCCUCCACCAAUUUGACAAAAUGUUACUCUCAGCUGAGUGCACUUGCAUUCGACUUCAAGAACUCAACUUCUGUCCAACCUCACAAUUCAUGUGCCCUCACUAGAAAGAAAGUCCCAAACUCACAAUAUUUAUAAUGACAACAAAAGGGACGGAUUCACAAAGACACUCACUCUCAAAAAGAGUUUCAAGUAUUACAACAUGACAUACCAUAGGCUUGCCCUUAUUUUAGUUCNNNNNNNNNNNNNNNNNNNNNNNNNNNNNNNNNNNNNNNNNNNNNNNNNNNNNNNNNNNNNNNNNNNNNNNNNNNNNNNNNNNNNNCCUUGAACACUACUCACAUUUUUCUUUCUUGUUACUCUUUGCUUCUUUUCAAACCAUAUAGCCCUCAUUAGCUCCUAAUUUCCAUCAUUGAACCACCUUAAAUAGCUCUCUAAUUUUCUUCAAGGCUCCAUAUUUAUAUAUAUACAUACAUCUCUUUUUCUUUUCUUUUUCUUCUUUUCCCUUACAUUUUUUUUAUUUUUCUUUUGGAGCUUGAAUAGUUUCAUAUCUUGAGGUAUACUUUCAUACACUCACUGUACAACCUAGCCAAUUUCUGGCUUGACAUCACACCCCCAACUUAAGCUUUUAGCCUAAUUCUCAAUUUCAAGGAGGGACGGGUUCAAAAGAGGGAAUUAUUUUACAAAAGGGGAAAUGUUUGUAAUGAGGUGGCCAAAUAAAAGGUUAAAGGCUCAAAAUGGGGUAACUAGUGAUAAUAUCUAUACAAUGGAUAGCUUGAAAGGCUAACUGGUUUUCCAAAAUCACAAAGAUGCCUAAGUUCAUUUCUCCAACCAAAUGUAAUUAUCAUUAGGAUCGAAAGACCAACCGGGCAAGUUCUAGAUGGCAGAAGUAAAUACACGAAUUAUUUAUACAAAGACUCACACACAUGACACACAAACUGUUUGACAUAACAUAGUUUUAGCCCUCGAGUCAACACUUGGCAACUCGAAGCUUUCAUCAUAUUUACAUGUAUAACUCUAGGUAAACAUAGAGUCAAAGAGCGAGCCUCAAGUUCACACAGUUGAUUUCUUUUUCUUUUUUUAUAUUAAUGGAAGGGUAUAGGCUAUUUACAGGCACACAUGCUUGAAACUAGACAAAUUACACCAAACCGGUCAAAAUGUUUCAUUCUACUGCCAUGGUUCUACUAUUAUACCCUUGGAAAAGAACCCGGCGAAGAAAAACCAAGGGGGAUUCAUUACUAAUUACUAAAGAUGAAAAUACAACUAUCUACUUGUUUUUGUUUUUUUUAAUAUACAAAGAUAACCUAUGUACAAAAACAACACAAGUAUAUACAAAAGUUACAGAAGUUUGCUUACACAAAAACAUGUACAACAGUUCAAUUUAAAAAAAGUUUGUACAAGGCUAUCCCACCCCCAACUAAAAAGCAUGCAUUGUCCCCAAUGCAUAAGAAUGUAAGAUAGAGUUUAGGGGCUCCCUGAGGCGCACUAAGCGCUAUGGGAGUCGGAAGCCGGCUGAAUGAUGGUAGGGUCACCCUCUGAUGCUAGAGCUAGGGCCGAUGAGAUCUCGACCUGAGGAGUGACCUCCACUGAUAGAGGAGAGAUCUCCAACUGACCCGACACUAGAGCUGGGGCCUGUGAGCUGCUAGCCUCUCCUGUUGAUAGCUGAGUGGUCGAUGGAUUGCUUGGGCGACCAUGUCUGCUAGCGAAUGUUCUAUCGCCUUCUGAACAUUUGCUUGUUCUUCCUUUGUAACUGCAGGGACAACAACCUGCUUACCUUUCUCCUGAGGGCCCUCAUCCUCCUCGGACCAUGACUCCUAAUUAGUCUCUCCCUCAUCUGCCUCCCCACCUUCGGACUCUGCAGAGUGUCCGGAAUCUUCCUCAGAAGGGAUGUCAAUAAGUGUAGGGGAAGAUGGAGGUUGGGAAGCCCCGACAGUCUGAGGUGCAGGAGCUGUAAUCAAGGUAGAGAAAUCAAAAUCUAAUCCAGCCACGGACGUGCCCGCUCCCUGCUUUCCUUCUUUGGGCAUGAAUUAGGAUAGAUCGAACUCUAGAGUUUGCAUUUUCUGAAGCUCAGUCUUCAGUGUGGCACCCUCAUCAUAGAGCUUUGGCAAGUCUCUAACCUCACCCCACUCCAUCUUUUAAAUCCACACCUCAAACUACUUCAGGCGAUCCCCAUAAGAUGUUUGUUGUUGUUGGAGGGCCGUCAUUGAGGACUGGAUAGGGGUCAAUGCUUGCCUGAUGAGUGUGGGGAGGUUCUUCAGAAGCUGGUCUACCUUAGCAUUUGCAUGUUGAGCUAAGAAACCGAGCCUUAAAACGGCUGGUAGUAGGGUAGAAGGUUGUGCAAUGGUGGCCUGAGAGGUGGGGUAUGGAGUGGAAGUGGAGGCCAAUGUGGCCUGAGGAGAAGCAGGAGUCUGGGAGUCUGAGAUCUCUGUAUCAGCAGGAAUCGGGGUCUGAACCUUUGGGGGAGCAACAACUACCGCGUCAUUAAUACACGUGAUAUAAAUAUCCUUCAGCGUUUUCCCCAUUUUGUCAGUGUAUGGCAUUGAAGGGACUUCCACAGCCUUACAGAGGGUUGUGAUCAAGCACGGGAAUGGAAGUGACAUAGUUGUCUGGUUGGCCCGAAUCCCUAACUCUCGGAAGAUAAAGUCACCCACAUCAAUUUUUAUCCUAAUCAUAAUGCAUGCAAUAAGAAAAGCUUUCUCAAUGCUUAUAUCAGUCUUAUUUCGGGACGGUAUCAAUCGAGAGGUGACAAAGCUGAGCCAGAAUCUACCCACUCGUGUGAGAUCUUCCUUGAAUAUUUUAUGCAGAGGGUCAAUCCAAGCAGGAGUCCCCUUGGCUAUCACUGAAGCUAUCCAACCACGCUCAUUAUCCCUGUUGGCCUAUUUGGUGUCAUACUCAAUUGUUCCCGAUCUCCAGUUUGGGAAGUAGAACUCAUUUAUAGUAUCACUGCUACAAAACACCUCCUUCCCCCGAACCAAGACAGUAUCACAGAAAACUUUGUUGCGCUUGUGGUAAGGUGUCUUGGAGGCUCCAUAAGAUGCAUAAAAUUCACGCACCACUGUUUCAUUGUAAUCAUCAGGCAGCUUAGUGAAGCACUCCUAGUUUCUAGCCUUGAUGUUCUCCAGUAUGUGAGGGUACUGCUCUUGUAGCCCGUUCAGACUCAGUUGUUUCUCAGCAAGGAUUUUCCAUUUUGUGAGCCCUUCUCUAUACAGCUCCUUGAGCCUUCGACCCCAAACCUGAGUUUGAAAUCAUCUCCUCUUUUUCUUCUUGCCUCAGCUUGUAGGUCAACUAAUGGCAAGGUCUCCUCCUCAUCAGACUGGGAGGGAUGUGCAGCAGUAGCGUCCGGUCGUGAACGUUUGGCUUAUUGUGUUUGACGACUGGUGGAGGCCUUUUUCUUGGAAGAAGAUAUAUGUUUUUGGGAGCCAUAUCUACAAAGAAAUAAAUUGUGAGCAACACAAUAGACAUCAGAAUAAAAAAGCACAAAGAAAGUCAAGUAUGCGACAGGGUAUGCAGUCGCAUAACCAUUGUGCGGACCGCAAACCUGUCGCAAAACUUCUGUCUGCUGAAGGGAUAUAAUUAUGUGAUGGUUUUGCAAUGACAUAUCCAUUAUGCGGUUUGCAUACACAUCGGAAAACUAUUUGCUUGGAAAGGUCAUCACACUAUGCGAUCGCAAAAUCCACCGCAAAGAUGAAUUUGCGAUCGCAAAUUAGCCGCAAACAAUAUGUUACAAAAAGCCAGAAACUGUUUAAAUAUGCGGUGGCUUUGCGGUCCGCAUAUCACUUAUGCGAUCGCAAAGCCUCCGCAUUUUGCCAUAUUCCUCAUGUUACCUAGGGUUUCCUAUGCGGCAACAAUGCGGACCGCAAAUCGACUAUGCAGUCUGCAGAAGUCUUCGUCCUCAAUGUUUUGAACUCCACCCUAUACAAUGGUGAACCAGCACCCCAAGCCUAACUAAAUAUCCAAGAAGCCCCCCAUUAUGAGCAAAUACCCAAUAACGAUGAGGAAGUAAGAAUAAACAACGAAAACAGGAGAAACACACAAAAAAAAUUAACACUAAAAAUUAGGAAAGAAAUUGGGAAAGGAAAACAUACCUGGAAUGGAGAAUUUAGAACACUUUUGGAGAUGAAUUCAACAAGCGGGAUCGUUUGUUUACACUAGCCGUUUGCCUUUCUCCUUUUUCAUUUUUUUUGUUUAAGAGGGAAAUCUGAGUGCCGGUGUGUGUUUAUGUGUGAAGGGGUAGAGGGUACUUACCUGUGAAGUUUGUAGUGGACAAGUCACCGCAUAACACCUUAUGCGACCGCAUAAGUGUUAUGCUGUGGUUUCAACUAGAGUUGCUCAUGGACACAAUGCGGUGCACUUGUGCGAUCGCAUAACUGAAAUGUGGUCCGCAAAGUGCAUGUCCUCGCCGCAUUUCUACCACCAAUAUUUGCCAAACAAAAUGUCCAGGUCUGCGACCACUAUGCGGUCCGCAUAGUUAAAAUGCGACCGCAUAUGUGUAGCAGACUUCCUAUGGUGACUUUUCCUCCCUUUCACAUGCAAUUUUACCCUGUGUUAUGAUCUUUUGAAUCACCUGCACUCUAACACGCACUUUAAAUUACUCAAUUAAAUCUAUCUAAUAAAAGUAAAAAAUUUAAAGGAUAAAAAGGAUGUUACCACACAUGGGUUGCCUCCCAUGAAAUACUUGAUUUAACGUCACGGCACGACGAAGUUGUCCUUUCUUUGGGUUCACCCAUUGGUCGGACAUGGACCACCUUUGAGAGCCAACUGUUCCACCAAGUAUUUUUCUCCAUCUGUGCCCAAGUAGUGCUUGACUCGCUGACCAUUUACUUUGAAGGUUUGGAGCCCAUCCUCCGAUUCUAAUUCCACAGCUCCAAAAGGGGAUACAUCUACCACCUUGAACGGAUCGGACCAUUUCGAUUUGAGCUUGCCCGGAAACAAUUUGAACCUUGAGUUGAAGAGCAAAACCAAGUCACCGGACUUGAACUCCUUUUUCAAGAUCUUUUUGUCAUGGACGAACUUCAUCCUUUCUUUGUACACAGCUGCACUUUCAUAUGCAUGGAAAUGGAAUUCCUCCAUUUCAUUGAGUUGUGUUAACCUCAAAUUUAAAGCUUCAGCCCAGUCCAAGUUCAACCUUUUUAAAUCCCACAUGGCUUUGUGCUCUAGUUCUACGGGUAGAUGACAAACCUUGCCGAAGUAUAACUGAUAAGGAGAAGUGCCAAUAGGGGUUUUGUACGCUGUGCGGUAUGCCCACAACGCGUCAUCUAGCUUCCUUGACCAGUCGGUCAUGUUUGCAUUAACAGUCUUUGCUAGAAUAUUCUUUAUCUCCUGGUUGGAAACUUCAACUUGGCCACUUGAUUGGGGAUGAUAAGGUGUGGCCACCUUAUGCUUGACGCCAUAUUUCUCUAGUAGCCCCGUGAAAGCCUUGUUACAGAAAUGAGACCCAUCAUCACUAAGAAUGGCUCUAGGAGUGUCAAACCGCGUGAAUAUGUUUUUCUUUAAGAAUGUGGUCACACUCCUGUCACACCUCCUUUUUACUACCCCCAGAAGGGGUAUAAGAGAGUUUUUUCUAAUUUAAGUGACAAUCGAAAUGGGAUUAUUUAUUAGAUACAGAGUCGCCACUUGAGAUAAUUUAUGGUGUCCUAAGUUACCGGUUCAAAUCCCGAAUUGAGGAAAGAUUGACUCUGUUUUAUAGUCCGCGAACACAGAAAUCAGGGUAAGGAAUUCUGUUAACCCGGGAGAAGGUAUUAGGCAUUCCCGAGUUCCGUGGUUCUAGCAUGGUCGCUUUGAUCAUACUUGGCUUAUUGAAAUUGCUCAAUUACUCAUUUUAGAACCUAUGUGCAUUCCCCCUUUUAAUUAAGAAAUUAUCUUGAAAUGGGACACGAGUACAUGUACUCAUUUUUGGUGCGUCAAAAAUCAUGUCACACGAAUGUGUCCACAAUUAAUAACACUUUAUUAUUAUUAAGAAAAGUUUGGCCAAAGUUGCGCGAACGCAUACUCCGGUUUUGUUUUUAAAAUCGUAAUCAUGUCAUGCAAACGUGUCCAUGACCACGAUAAUAUAUUAAACGUGCCUAAAGCAAACUACGAUCAUUUGUUAUUUGUUAUAUCUAAAUUAUUAAUUAAUACAAGGUCCAUGUAUGAUUAAAUUGUGGAUGGCACACCUCGAACUAUAUAAUCCUAAAUUAAUUAGUAGCCCAUGAAAACCCAUUUCGUUAUUAAGAAAAGUUUGAUCGAAGUUGCGCGAACUCAUACUCCGAAUUUAUUUUUAGAACCGUAAUUAUGUUACGCGACGUAUACACAAUCACAAUGGAUUUGAUUUGCUUAGGAGGCAUAACGCAACAACAGUAGCCCAUAAUUGCAUCUCUCUUAAACACUCAUUUGCAACAAUACAACAUUUAAUAAUUUUAUGCAUUGAGAAUAUAUGCAACCUUUUCACAUAUUAAAAUGCCUAUUGGAGCACCCGCAUACCGGUAAUAACAGACCCUUUCACAUAUUAAAAUGGAUACUUACGUAGGGAAUACUUUGGUGGAUAUGUACUGCAAAUGAAAAUACUUAUCACAAAAUUUGAUUGUAAGUUUCAAAAAAUUCCAACAAAGGCUUGAGGACAAUACUGUGAUGCUCCCCAUUUGUGACCAAAAUUUAGUUAAAUGAACAAAGAAUCAUGUCUCCAAAACUAUUUUCAAGAUCAUUAAGACUAAAGCCACAACUUAAUUGAAUACUACAAUUUCAUAAGGAUGCUAACAUAUUUUAUGGGUGAAUGUCAACCCGAAAAUCUUCAACUAAUAGAUUGAACCUAAAAUCUAAAACCCACCCCUAAUCAAUGCGCGACAAUAAAAGGUAAUAGCUGAACACAAAAAACAACACGAAUUUGUGCAAUGUAGCCCGUACUACAGUUCUUUAUAACUUAAAAGAAACCAGAAUUUCAAUCAAGCAACCCAAAUAUACAUAUUUCAGUUCCAAGCUCCAUAACACUGUGCUAUUCGUAUGAACACAAUUUAAUGAAAGUGUUUUCUAAAGGAAAUGUAAUGAGAGAUAGUGGCUUAGUUUACUUCUCUCUUCAAUCAAGCUCAUGAAAUGCAACAUAGAUAGAUACGCCUAGCAAGGAUCACAAACACUUAAGGUCAAUUAGAAGCCUGAUUUCAUAAAUUUCAAAAUAGCGCACACAAAAUUGACUUGGCGCGGGCAUGGUCAAAAUGAUCCUAACACUUCAGGCAUGUUUCUGUUUGAGAACCAAGGAGAAUCAGUAAAGACAACUUCAAAUGGAUUCAGCUAUUCAAUUUCAGAAUCACAUCACAAACAUUAGAACAUCGAUAACAAGAUUCAAAAGGAUAUAGGCUUAAAUUAAGAGUAAAUGAAUUUAAAAAGGGUCCAGAUUUCCACUUAGCAUACGCAAUUCGCAUGUUAAACCAACAGAAACCAACGGAGCCCUUGAUUUAUUUGAAAUCCAUGUCAAAAACCAAAGAACUUCAUGAAAGAAUCUGAAGAACCGUGUCGAUGGUUCAGACACUUAUCUCUUUACAUAAACCAUUUAGAAACUAACACCAAUAACAACAAAAUCGAAUGGUGAAGGUGGAGGAAAUUAAACAGAACUAUAAUAUGGACUAUUCAAAUCUGUUCUUAAUUUUAUUCCAGCGAUGCGUAUACUAAUUUAGGACUCUCAAAGAAAAGUUGAACACCAGACUAUUGCAGCCAAACAAAUGGAUAUGCAGCCAUGAACUAGAGGAUGUGCAUUUUAACACAAAUACAUGAACACCAAAUUCCGAGCGGACUAACAAAAUGGACUCUUCAAUGUUUAAAGUUUACAUUCAAUCCUUCGGGAAAAUCAACACAUUGAAUACUAUCAAAACCACAAAAACCACGACUCAUCGCGUUUUCAACCAAUCAUCACGAACAACUAAGAAAGAGCCAAGAAAUGAACCUGAAAUUUGUGAAAUUCUUCACUUAAACUCAGCUAAAUCCAGCAAUGGAUACUUGAAGCAACAGCAGCUGACGAACAGGAAUCAAAUCAGUGACCAAACUCGAAAGUCGAACUUGAUUNNNNN
rnacentral:lncRNA from 1 species